ACCCUUGUAACUUUUAACCCCUCAAUAAUGUGGUGUUUGGAUACUUAAAGAGAUUGUGUUAACUUUUCACCUUAUUAAUAUUUUUAUCUUCUUGAGGAGUUAAAUAUUAUCCUUGGGGGAUUAGGUUUAUUAUUACCCUCUUUAAAACUUAAAACCUACAAGAGUAACAUUUGACCAUUUAUUUUUUAACUUUAUACUAAACACAUUCUUAGUUGUAAUGUUCUUUAGCUUUGCCACAAUGUUUUGCUAUUAAUUGUAUAUAUUUAUGAUUCCAUCUAUAUUUUGUUCCAUUUAUAUUUCUUAAAGUAUUUCCUACCUUGUUUUUAACAUUUCAGUAUCAAGAUUUAGGAGUGCUUCUUGCUUGCCAGUUGUCAUUGCAUAAAAUCUUAUUGAGGUUCUAUAAAUAAAACCCACUAUAACUUGAUGGUGUUCUUUGUGAGGUAGUUGCGGAUAAAGAAGACUCAAAUUUGAGACAAUACUUUGAUG
rnacentral:misc_RNA from 1 species